GAUGAACGCUGGCGGCGUGCCUAAUACAUGCAAGUCGAGCGAACAGACGAGGAGCUUGCUCCUCUGACGUUAGCGGCGGACGGGUGAGUAACACGUGGAUAACCUACCUAUAAGACUGGGAUAACUUCGGGAAACCGGAGCUAAUACCGGAUAAUAUAUUGAACCGCAUGGUUCAAUAGUGAAAGACGGUUUUGCUGUCUCUUAUAGAUGGAUCCGCGCCGCAUUAGCUAGUUGGUAAGGUAACGGCUUACCAAGGCAACGAUGCGUAGCCGACCUGAGAGGGUGAUCGGCCACACUGGAACUGAGACACGGUCCAGACUCCUACGGGAGGCAGCAGUAGGGAAUCUUCCGCAAUGGGCGAAAGCCUGACGGAGCAACACCGCGUGAGUGAUGAAGGUCUUCGGAUCGUAAAACUCUGUUAUUAGGGAAGAACAAAUGUGUAAGUAACUAUGCACGUCUUGACGGUACCUAAUCAGAAAGCCACGGCUAACUACGUG
rnacentral:rRNA from 1 species